UUGUGGCCCCAAGUCAGGCGA
rnacentral:rRNA from 23 species